GAGUUUGAUUAUGGCUCAGGACGAACGCUGGCGGCGUGCCUAAUACAUGCAAGUAGAACGCUGAAGGAAUAGCUUGCUAUUCUGGAAGAGUUGCGAACGGGUGAGUAACGCGUAGGUAACCUACCUCAUAGCGGGGGAUAACUAUUGGAAACGAUAGCUAAUACCGCAUAAGAAUACUUAUUGCAUGAUAAGUAUUUAAAAGGAACAACAGUUUCACUGUGAGAUGGACCUGCGUUGUAUUAGCUAGUUGGUAAGGUAACGGCUUACCAAGGCGACGAUACAUAGCCGACCUGAGAGGGUGAUCGGCCACACUGGGACUGAGACACGGCCCAGACUCCUACGGGAGGCAGCAGUAGGGAAUCUUCGGCAAUGGGGGCAACCCUGACCGAGCAACGCCGCGUGAGUGAAGAAGGUUUUCGGAUCGUAAAGCUCUGUUGUCAGCCAAGAAUGUAUG
rnacentral:rRNA from 1 species